rnacentral:lncRNA from 1 species
GCUAGCUCGGCCCGAUCAACCACCUUUAUUUACUUCCCAUAUAUAUAAAUAUAUAAAAACCCUAAUUCACUCCUCAUGAUCCCUGCCGCUGCACAUCUGUUUGGCUAUCUGAUGUGCGGAGUCCAUCACACACCUUCCUCUUCUCAUGUGCUACUCUAAUUUUUCUGCUCCCUUCCAUCGUGCAUCCCACAGCCACAUGUGUUUUCCCUCUUGCGACCGUCCACCCCUCCACCUCUGAUUUCUCUACUUCCUCCGCUGAUCUAAUGCGUGACGCUCAACACCGUCGCCAACUGUAGCACGUCAUGGCUCCAACACUAGUGUCCCUAGUCGAGCGACUGCAGCACACUCCAACAUGUGGAGCCCCUCUUCUCUACCUGUGUGUGCGAUAGCGGCAUGUCGAGCCUAGCAGGUCGUCGAGCCGACUUGGCAUGGGCCGCCUCCUUUAGGGUCGUGCACUCGUGCUUGGGUUAUUGGUGCAGCCAGCCCGAUGCACCUGACGGGCCAUGCUGGCCCACUGACCUCUAGAUCAUGCCGAGCAUGGGCCUGUGCGAUGGCAAGUCGGGUAGCCCGAAUAGCCAUAUGUAGCUGUGGCGGGGCGGCGGAGUGGUGGGCGACGACGGGGACGAGAGUUGCCUAGGAUAAGAGGUAGAAGGUGCUGGUGAGGAGGAAGAAAGGGAAGAGAGCGGCGCGAGGAAAGAGACGGCCACGCAACGAAUGCACGUGCGUUAGCCACAUAUUUUUAUUAUAUACAUCGGUAUAAGAAAGUUAUUGCUUGUAUAUUUGAUCUAUUUUAUAUUUUAACACUGGAGUGACAAGUUAAGUAUUUUUAUCUAAAAUCCUAGUCUUCAAGGAUCUUAUUAAAAUAUUUGGAAAAUAUUUGUUUAAUUUCACUAGCCAUGAGAAAACCCCUUGCCACUGGCUACAUUCUAAGAGGAUGGUUGCUUAACGGAGUUAAUAUUGUUGUCAGCUUCAGACUCUUCGGAGCAAAAGAGAUCGGCUUGGCUUGACUGGAGCCAAGAAUAGAGGAGCACCGAAAGAAAAAUCAUCUCUAGGAGAUCAGCACCGAUUAGGAGCAAAAGACAGAGCCACAUCAUGCCACGUAAGGACGACAAGAGCCAACUUGCCAAGUCACUGCCCAACUUGCCCGGUCACAUUUCAGGUACGGUACCACCGCCUUCUCCACACACUUCCUUUUACCCAGCGCACCGCUUUUCCACCGAAAAAACUGGCCUCGCGAAGGUAUACCCCACGCCAUCGCCCAUCGCCCAUCGCCCAUCGGUAGCCGCCGGGUUUCCAGACCCAGAGCAAACUGCCGCAAAACGGCAAAAAAAACUCCCGCGAGACCCCGCGUAGGUAGCGUCCUUUGCGUGCCGCCGCUCUCGCGAUCGCGAGGACGCAACCGCGCCGCCAUCGCAUCGCCACGCCACGUGACUGCGCGCGGCCCCGGUGGUGGGCGCCUGGCCGAAAGGCGGCAGUCCUUCCUCGCCCGUGCGGGGCGCGUGAAUAGGGUGCUGCCGUGCCGUGGGGGCCCGCUGGGACGGUAGUGAUGCGCUACGCGCGAGACUAGUCCCUCCGCUCACGCGGCCGGCCGUGGGCUCGCGCGGUCGCUGUUUCGCAGAAGCGGGGUGUCCCGCGGCGUGAUUGGACGGACGGCCAGGAUCGUGCGGGCUCCAUUCCAUUGCUGGUGACAGUCGCUGAUUAAACCAGGUGGUCUGUGAAGUUGGCAAUAAUCGCUUUUUCAUCAUGGAAGACUCUGGUCUUAGUUUUAAGUUUGAAAAAAAAAAAGUCUAUUUUUCCUCCCCAAAUUUCAUAAAAGUCUGAUUUUCUUUCCUCAGCUCCAAAACCGGACAAACCAUCUCUCAUAAUUUUUCAAACCAUAUGUUUUAUCUUUCUAGAGUGGUUUCGAAUGCGGUUUUGCUACCGCGAACGAAUGGUGGUUUUGGUACAGUAACAGUGGUUUUAUCUUUUUAAUUUUUUUAAUUAUUUCGGCUAAGGCCUUGUUUAGUUCGCGAAAAUUUUUGGAUUUCGCUACUGUAGCACUUUCGACUUUAUUUGGCAAUUAUUAUUCAAUUAUAGACUAAUUAGGCUCAAAAGAUUCGUCUCGCAAAAUACAGGUAAACUGUGCAAUUAGCUAUCUUUUUUAUCUACAUUUAAUGCUUCAUGUAUGUGUCGCAAGAUUCGAUGUGACGGGGAAUCUUGAAAAAUAUUGGGAACUAAACAAGGCCUAAAUCUUUGAAAAUCAUAGUAACUCACAGAAAAAUCAUAAAAUAAAAAAUCUAAUUUUGUUGGACUCCAUGUAAGUAGAUAUACACAAUGAAUAUAUAAUAUGCUAUGCUUUAGUACACAGUUUUUGCUAUAAAGGUUUUGUCUUUUUUUCUUUUAUAUUUAUUCCGACUAAAUCAUUGAAAAUCAUAGUAAAUUAUAGAAAAAUCAUAAAAUAGAAAAUCUAUAUUUUUUAGACUCCACAGGAGCAUAUCUACACAUUAAAUAUAUAAUAUAGUAUGCUUUAGUAUAGUUUUUUUGUUAUAGCUUUAGAUCUAUGUUUUUCUGUAAUUAAUUGAAAUAAUUCAUAGUUACAGCUUUUAUAAUUAUUUUGUCGGACUAAAGCACACCCAUAUUAUAUGUUUAUUGUGUAUAUAUACUCAUGUGGAGUCCAAUAGAAUUAUAUUUUCUAUUUUGAGAUUUUUUUAUGAUUUUUUAAAGAUUCAACCAAAUAAAUAAAAAAGGAAAAAACAAAACCUUUAUAGCAAAAACUUUGUACUAAAGCAUACCAUAUUUUAUGUUCACUGUGUAGAUCUACUUAUGUGAAGUCUAAAAAAAUUGGAUUUUUCAUUUUUAUGAUUUUCUGAUGAUUUACUAUGAUUUUUUUAAAGAUUCAACUGAAAUAAUUAAAAAAGAAAAAGAUAAAACCACUGUCACUAUAGCAAAACCACUGUUCACUGUAGCGAAACCGCCUUCGAAACUGCUCCAAAGAGGUAAACUUCACGGUUUAAAAAUUGAGGAAGAUAAUUUACCUGAUUUUAAAGUUGAAGGGGAAAAAGUGAACUUUCGUGAAAAUUGAGGAAGAAAAGUAGACAUUUUCCUUAAAUUUUUUUAAUGAGCUGCUUGCUUGUGGAUCUACCAUGGCCCAUGGGCUCAUGGGGUGGUUCCUGGAGGCACUCCUACGUUUUUGAUACAUGACGGCAAAUAAAAAUUUUGUCUGCCUUUUGCUAAUCCUCGAGACUGAUGCUGACAGACUCAAAUAACUGAGGCCUUUUAGAACGCAGGAAUUUCCCAUAAAUUAUACAGAAAUUUUGUAAGCAUCAGAUGAUUUUCAUAGAAAAAAACAUAGGAUACAGAAAAAUUCCAGCGCGUAUGCCAGGUCACUUGCUGGUAGCACGAGUGCAUCAUACCUCACAGCUCGUUACGAUCCAUUAAUCGACUCGCAGGAUCACGGCACUUUUCAAAGAAUCCUUAACCCUAAAAGCUAGCACACCAAUUGACGUCCCAGUAAUCAAUUCUAGUAAAAAAGAAUCCAUCCGGAUUGUCUGGUAAUGACCCUUUGAGAAGAAAAAUAGUAAAUGUUUACUACAGUCUAUGGUGUGCUGUACAUGAAGCGAAGCAACGCAAACAUUACCCUCAUCUUAAAUUUCAGCCUUUUCCUCUUUACCGGAGGAGCCAAGCCAAGGUUUUUACAGAGGUGCUCGUCAGGCUGCAGCGUCUUGGGAACAACACCAAAUGCACAGACAAGGCUUGGUGCAGGUAAACUGAGGAGUCCUUAAGUUCUGUUUCAGUUUAUGAGUUCUUACAAAAGCAGACACUAAAGCCCUCGAGUUUUGAUGGGUCCUGGACUCCGGCACAUGAGGAUUUCUAUCAGCAGCCUCAAUGAAUCUCUCAGUAGAAUGCAGAAAGAUUUGCCCAAUUUGCAGCCUCUUUAGUAGAAUGCAGCACAGACUCUGAACCUUAACAGUUCUGAUUGGCUCAGCACAAUGCCCCAUUAGUCUACGGCUUCACAUACUUGUCGACAUACCCCUGAAGAAAAAUAAAACCAAGUCAGUGGAGCCAGAUAUUUAUUGAAACAAACAUGUGCUGAACAAGAAAAAUAGCACGGUAGAGAGCUAAUGGAGAAUAUGGUACCGUUGGUUUGGAAAUAUUAGAUUUGGGGGCUGAAUCACAUUUUCUUAAGUAAACAUGGUGAUACAAAGCUCUCAUUCCAGAAAAAGUAUGUGAGCUCAAAACUUGCAAGCACAGAAUCAGAUAGUUUGAAACAUUUCUAUUUCUAACUUGACAUGUAUGCCAUCCACUUAUGUGGGGCCUAUUGAUCCAGACAGAUUUUAAAUCCCAUGAUGGAAUUCAGAAACUUAAACCAAGAUGUCAGUCCAAGUGAUGAAACAAAUUAUUGCCAUAUGAUGACCAAACAAGAUAAAUGUAGACAAUAUACUCAAUUAAGUGACAUUACCGAACUCCACUAAAUAAUUACCAAAUUUCUGGAUGACAACAUAACACGGACUUCAGGACAUCAGAGCUUAGGAGCUUAAUAGCAUGACACCAACUAAUUGUGACUUGUGUUUCUCAGUAUCAAAUAUCAAGGGCAUGGCAUAAUUUCCACUUCUCCAUGAUGUUCACAUGCCAUGAACAAGACUAUUGCAUAAUAUUGUCACAGAAUGCUACAAACAUAUGAACAGAAAUAAUAUGUACGCAAAUAACCAAUAUUCUAGACAUGUGACGAUAGACAUACCAUUACUAAUUUGGUCACCUUCUUUUGAGAGGAUUGUACAUAAUGUUUAAUCCUGGCAGGUGUUUUCGGAAUAUGACUGCUAGGGACUGAAUUAGAAACCUUAUCAACUGUUUUCCUGACAAUAGUUUUGAAAGCCUCUUUGCUCAUGUUACCUUGCCUCCAUGAUGGCUUAAGAACUUCCUUAACAAAAUCGGCAAUAGCAAUCUUAAAAAGUUUCAUUGACCUGGAGUCUUUACCCUUCUUAUUUGUGUCCAAUGUUUGGUCAUUGUCAGCAUCACCAGGGAUAUCUGAGUUCCAGUCUUUAGCACCCAAAAAUUCAGGACUUGCAUUCUCCACCACACCUGCCUCAGUAUCUGCUGCCACCUCUCCAAGUCCCUCAACUUCUGACUCAGCAACAACCCCCAGUCCAUACAUAUUUUCACUGUCCACUUCUAGGUUCAUAAGUUUUGAUGCAUCACGACUAUCAGCAGCACUCCAGUUCUUCUCUUUACGAAGAUCUACCUUGUUGAUUGAACUGCUCGAUGGUUCAAUACUGUCAAGCAAUGGAUCAUAUGGAGCACCAGAAGCAAACUCCUGACGGAAUAACUUUUGUUUAAUGGGCACAGGUUCUGCAGAACUUUCAUGGGCAUGUGUUCUGGAUCGACCAAAAGGGGACACUGUAUUCAUGUGUUCUGUUGUGGAAACAGAACCAAUUGCAUUAGGG